AGUGAACGCUGGCGGUAGGCCUAACACAUGCAAGUCGAACGGCAGCACAGUAAGAGCUUGCUCUUACGGGUGGCGAGUGGCGGACGGGUGAGGAAUACAUCGGAAUCUACUUUUUCGUGGGGGAUAACGUAGGGAAACUUACGCUAAUACCGCAUACGACCUACGGGUGAAAGCAGUGGAUCUUCGGACCUUGCGCGAUUGAAUGAGCCGAUGUCGGAUUAGCUAGUUGGCGGGGUAAAGGCCCACCAAGGCGACGAUCCGUAGCUGGUCUGAGAGGAUGAUCAGCCACACUGGAGCUGAGACACGGUCCAGAGUCCUACGGGAGGCAGCAGUGGGGAAUAUUGGACAAUGGGCGCAAGCCUGAUCCAGCCAUACCGCGUGGGUGAAGAAGGCCUUCGGGUUGUAAAGCCCUUUUGUUGGGAAAGAAAAGCAGCAGGUUAAUACCCCGCUGUUCUGACGGUACCCAAAGAAUAAGCACCGGCUAACUUCGUG
rnacentral:rRNA from 1 species